rnacentral:rRNA from 1 species
AUUGAACGCUGGCGGCAGGCCUAACACAUGCAAGUCGAGCGGGGUUUUCGGACCUAGCGGCGGACGGGUGAGUAAUGCGUAGGAAGCUGCCCGAUAGAGGGGGAUACCAGUUGGAAACGACUGUUAAUACCGCAUAAUGUCUACGGACCAAAGUGUGGGACCUUCGGGCCACAUGCUAUCGGAUGCGCCUACGUGGGAUUAGCUAGUUGGUGAGGUAAUGGCUCACCAACGCGACGAUCUCUAGCUGGUUUGAGAGGAGGAUCAGCCACACUGGAACUGCGACACGGUCCAGACUCCUACGGGAGGCAGCAGUGGGGAAUAUUGGACAAUGGGCGCAAGCCUGAUCCAGCCAUGCCGCGUGUGUGAAGAAGGCCUUCGGGUUGUAAAGCACUUUCAGCGAGGAGGAAGGGGUGUGUGUUAAUAGUACACACCUUUGACGUUACUCGCAGAAGAAGCACCGGCUAACUCUGUGCCAGCAGCCGCCGCAGUAA